GUAGGUGGCAAGCGUUGUCCGGAAUUAUUGGGCGUAAAGCGCGCGCAGGGCGGUCCUUUAAGUCUGAUGUGAAAGCCCACGGCUCAACCGUGGAGGGUCAUUGGAAACUGGGGGACUUGAGUACAGAAGAGGAAAGCGGAAUUCCAAGUGUAGCGGUGAAAUGCGUAGAGAUUUGGAGGAACACCAGUGGCGAAGGUGGCUUUCUGGUCUGUAACUGGCGCUGAGGCGCGAAAGCGUGGGGAGCAAACAGGAUUAGAUACCCUGGUAGUCCACGCCGUAAACGAUGAGUGCUAAGUGUUAGGGGGUUUCCGCCCCUUAGUGCUGCAGCUAACGCAUUAAGCACUCCGCCUGGGGAGUACGGCCGCAAGGCUG
rnacentral:rRNA from 1 species